UAUGCCACCAAGAAUCCCACUUCUUAAUCAUCUCCACCAUUAUGCUUUCAGCCGAAGACUUCAAGAGGUAAUUUUCUAUUCUGCCACUCAUUUAGGAUUUAUUCCUAUCACUAUUAAACUCCACUAUAAUUACAGAACUUCUUCUUAUUUGAUCAUGAAGAAAACUUAGAGAAGAACUGCGAAACUUUUGUGCAAACUAUAAUUGCAGAACCUAUUUUAAUAUUUUUUCUUCUUUAGUGGGUUCGUUUUGUACUAACUAUUCAUUGGAUCUCCAUGAUUUGUUGCAUGUGAAUAUCCGCAGGAAAGAGGAGAUGAUAUUUUAAUCAUCAAUUUGCAAAUAAUAUUUUAGAUAGUAGAUACUACAUAUGUGCCCCCAACAGAAAGAGAUUUGGAUUCAAAUGAAUGGAGUGAUGUUUAAGCAUAUGGUUUCACUAGAAGAAUGAACCUGGACAUGAUUCUCUAAAGAAGGAAGUGGCUUCACCAAGAACUUGACCAAAGUUAGAUGAAUGUGUUUUCCACAUAGUUAAGUUUCUGGUAUUAAUUUUUAUAGUACUUUUCACUUACUUUAUGUCACUCACAGAAAUGGGUUCUGAAAUCAUGUACAUUUUUCUGAGUUCAGGUUGGAGUGUUUAACUGACUUGAGAACAUUUGGUUU